CGACUCUCGGCAACGGAUAUCUCGGCUCACGCAUCGAUGAAGAACGUAGCAAAAUGCGAUACUUGGUGUGAAUUGCAGAAUCCCGUGAACCAUCGAGUUUUUGAACGCAAGUUGCGCCCAAAGCCUUUUGGUUGAGGGCACGUCUGCCUGGGCG
rnacentral:rRNA from 3 species